AGUUGAAUGUGCAGUCUCCAUGCAACAUUAUAAUUAGCCUUUCAGUUACAUUUCAUUUGUUUGAAAGGUACAGCACCAUUGAUGGCUUGAACACAGUGGGUGAAUAGUUUCCUGUGUCCCGGUGGGUGGCUGGUGGGUGGCUGUACUCACCAGAAUCAGAGAGGGCUCUGUUGGAACCUCCAGGCAGGCUGUCAAUCGAGGCUGAAGAAACGAUUGCAGAGCAAUCUGAGAUGGUGGGUAUCAAGGCUUGCGGAAAUGACCUACUAAGGAUGAAAGGACUGCAUCAAAAGUAUCACCUCACACAAGGACCUCCCAGUGAGGACGUUUGUUUGGUUCCUCACAGUGAUCAAAGAACUGAUGAUGAUGAUUCCCGUCGUCAGGAGGACAGACUUCUCAACCAUCUGGUUCUUUAAUGAUUCAUCACACAAAAAUGCUGCCUCAUCAGGGUUUGGUUGGUUUGCCUGUUUUCCUCCUUCUCAGCCUUGUGGAAGCACCACUGCAUCACUGGAUUUGUCUGAAAUGGCACCCUAUUCCCUAUGGGCUCUGGUCAAAAGUGUAGGGAAUAAAGGGCCAUUUGGGACACACAAAACUGUCUGUCUUCCACUUU